UGAUGGAAUAAGGAAAAAGAAAAGAAAAAAAAAAUAGCCAAAUAAUGCUACUGUGUGUAAAGGUCUGGUGUGAAAAACUAGGCUAAAAUAAAGUCUUUUAAUAAUCAUAUUACCAUUAACCAUACUCUAUGUUCCUUCAAGCCUAGGCAGUGCAGAUAGUUUAGACAUGCACACUGGACGUGCUAAAUGAUUGUUUGUGGAAUAAAUGAAUUUACCUUCUUCGUUUAUUCCACAAACUAUCAUUUAGCAUGCCGGCCUGUAGGUGGAGGAUAGACAGCAAGAAUAAAGAAAGGAGCCUUCAAGAAAUUACCUCUGAAACUGACCCAACAGUCCCACAGACAGUUUUGUUUGUUUGUUUGCUUGUUUUUGGAUAAACAUAGAAAUUGACCCUUCUGGUCCUAAAGCUUUAAACUUGUAUUUGUUUUAUCUGAGUUCCUUCCUCAGGAAAGGACCCCCAGGCCUCUCAAAAAGUAUCAAAGAACUGAAACUCACCAGAUCGUAGAAUUCAGACAGUGAGACACCAGGCCUCUCAUUCAUCAGAUUACUUCCUUAGCCCUCCCAACUUCCUGUUUUCCCAUACAUUGUUACAUUUCUUCUCUGCUGUAAAAACUCCUAAUUUUAAUCAGGGAGAUGGAUUUGAGACUGAUCCUUGGCUACAGUGCCUGAUUAAAGCAUUUUUCCUUGGCAAUACGUGUUGUCUCAGUGAUUGGCUGGCUGUAUGGUGAGCAGCAGGUCUUAGACCGAACCC
rnacentral:lncRNA from 1 species